rnacentral:lncRNA from 1 species
AUGGGAGUGUGUGCAUGUUCAUGCAGUGGUAUGUACAUGUGUGUAUUUGUGUGCACAUCCAUGUGGUUCACUUUGAAACAUAAGUUUUUCAUUGCAUUUAAAUUACUUUCCCAUUUUUAUAUUGUACUUCCUUUGAUCUCUUUAUUUUCUCUUUCAGAAAGACCUGCAAUGACAGUAGGGGAUCUUCUAAAAAGAUUUGAACCUCAGGAAAGAAAUGAUAAGAGUAAGCAAGAAAAAGAAAGACCACAGAAAAUAUUUGACAAGAAAGAACAGGGAAAAGAAGAUCUUCCCCCCCAAAUUGGUAAAUUUUCUCUGACAUUUCCCAUAACCAUUUAAAUGACUGCUUUUUUGGUGUCUUUAGAGUUCCAUUUUACCUAUAUGGCUUCCAGUGGCUCAUUCUUCUGGAUGUCUACAUGUCCCAUUCACUUAUUUCUGCUCAUGAUCUUCUCUCACAUUAUGUUCUCUUCAUUUCUGUUCCUAUACUUUUCAUUCAUUCUCAAUCCCUCUUUUUCAUUCAGUAUCUAUACCUCCCUAUAAACACUGAUCUUGUGUUCUUCCAGAGACUUGUCACACUUAUUACAUUAUUAAGCUGGAGAGAUGAAAGAAAUUAGGCUGAUAUGCACAUGGUUUCUAUUCUAUAUAUAUUUUAUGGACACUGCCCACUAAUUUAGGACUUCUGUUUUAUAUAGGAAAUAUGAGAGACCAUUAAGAUUCAAUUAAUUAUCCACCAAACUUUAACAAGAACCCUUAUUAGCUAAAUAUAGUUUUACUACCAUUCUUUGGUCAAACGUGAACUGGAGGCUUACUCUUACACAGCCUGUGGAUGUUACUCAAAUGUUCUCAGGUGUACAAAUAUUUUACAUAAUCUUUCCUAUCUUUUUCAUUUUAAAUCAAAAUGAAUUUUUCUUAUACUUUUAUUAACACAAUUAUGAAUUCUGAAAAUUUCAAUUUCUUUUAAAUGUUAAGAGAAAAACUCUCAUAUAUUAGGGAAAGUUCAUUGAUUAAUCUCUCAACUGAGAAUGGUGUAGGUCAAUGACACAAAGACACUGGAAUUUUUCCAAAAUUUUUUAUAAUAUAAUACAAAUAUAAUCAUUUACAGUUUAGCAUUCUCCAUUUCAAAUGGUAUUUUUCAAUUUUUUUGUCAGACUGAAUAGAUUUGAAAUACAUCUACUAGAUAAACAGAUUUGGUCAGAUGGAUGCUUUUACUAUUUUCUUCUUCAUCUCUCUUAACAACCUAUCUUUGUGUUUUGUGUAUUUGUACUCUGUUUUAAAAUGGAAGAAGUGCCUCUAAAAGACCACAGAUUGGUACUGUUUAUCCAACAAAGUUAUAUCAACUUCCUCUCAUGAUCAGUUUUCUGUUUAGCUCUUGUGCACCAAGCUCCAUAUGGAAGUAAAAGAAUAUUGCCUCUGAUUGGUGAGGAGACUUUGGAAUCUUCUGAUUCCAAUUCUUUAGAUUUAUUGGUCAGCUUGAACUGUAGAGAAAAUUAUGGAAGUGUUUCAAAUUUUUAUCCUCCUCACUUCCUGAUAUGUACCCUCAUUUUGAAUGCAGAUUGAUUGUUUUUCUUUUUAUAUCAGUAUAAGUGCAAACAGGAAAAAGACAAGUCCUAUUCAUGUGUGCCUACUCACACUUUCAUGUGUCUCUUGCACCUGUCUUUACCAAUGAUCAUCACCUUCUAUUCCUGUAUCUGUAUAUUUUGACAUGAUUUUGUCUAAUUAUUUUGCAUAUGCCAUUUCUGUUUUUAAUUCACUUUCCUGUAUUAUUAUUGCUCUGAAUUGUCCUGCAUUUCAACAUGUGUAGACAAAUACUUUUGUCAAGUAAAUUUUUUUAAUAUGUCUCUGAUGUUUUGUCAUUUUUAGAAUGGCUAAUGUAUAGGUGUAUCCCAAGAUAAUUCAAGAACCCCUUUCACUGUCAUCUAACAAACACAGUCUACAUGUCCCAUUCACUUAUUUCUGCUCAACCUUUCACUGUCAUCUAACAAACACAGUAUUCAUCUUCUAUCAAUGUGAUUUAGAUAAGAUAAGCUUCAUUCAAGUACACGUUAAAAUAGAAACUUGCACAAAACAAAUUCAAUAUUAAUGGGUUCAUGAAAAUGCAAUGAAUAGAGACUCCUAGAAACUUAACCUAGAUUUCCUUCUGGAAUAGUGUUUCACUAUACUGGAACAGUGGCUUUUGGUGACUAUGCAUGACAAAGCUACUGCAAUAACCAGAAUUGACUUAUAUAUGUAUUUCAUGGAAGUCAAAGAAUGUAUAAAGUUAACAAUUGAAUAAUAAAAGCCUCAGUUCAGCUCAGUUCAGUCGCUCAGGUUAACAAUUGAAUAAUAGAAGCCUCAGUUCAGUUCAGUUCAGCCGCUCAGUUGUGUCCGACUCUUUGCGACCCCAUGAAUUGCAGCACACCAGGCCUCCUUGUCCAUCACCAUCUCCCGGAGUUCACUCAAACUCGCAUCCAUCGAGUCAGUGAUGCCAUCCAGCCAUCUCAUCCUCUGUCGUCCCGUUUCGUAUAACUUCGUAUAAUGUAUGCUAUACGAAGUUAUUACGGAAUUAAAAGAA